GACGAACGCUGGCGGCGUGCUUAACACAUGCAAGUCGAACGGAAAGGCCCUGCUUUUGUGGGGUGCUCGAGUGGCGAACGGGUGAGUAACACGUGAGUAACCUGCCCUUGACUUUGGGAUAACUUCAGGAAACUGGGGCUAAUACCGGAUAGGAGCUCCUGCUGCAUGGUGGGGGUUGGAAAGUUUCGGCGGUUGGGGAUGGACUCGCGGCUUAUCAGCUUGUUGGUGGGGUAGUGGCUUACCAAGGCUUUGACGGGUAGCCGGCCUGAGAGGGUGACCGGCCACAUUGGGACUGAGAUACGGCCCAGACUCCUACGGGAGGCAGCAGUGGGGAAUAUUGCACAAUGGGCGGAAGCCUGAUGCAGCAACGCCGCGUGCGGGAUGACGGCCUUCGGGUUGUAAACCGCUUUCGCCUGUGACGAAGCGUGAGUGACGGUAAUGGGUAAAGAAGCACCGGCUAACUACGUGCCAGCAGCCGCGGUGAUACGUAGGGUGCGAGCGUUGUCCGGAUUUAUUGGGCGUAAAGGGCUCGUAGGUGGUUGAUCGCGUCGGAAGUGUAAUCUUGGGGCUUAACCCUGAGCGUGCUUUCGAUACGGGUUGACUUGAGGAAGGUAGGGGAGAAUGGAAUUCCUGGUGGAGCGGUGGAAUGCGCAGAUAUCAGGAGGAACACCAGUGGCGAAGGCGGUUCUCUGGGCCUUUCCUGACGCUGAGGAGCGAAAGCGUGGGGAGCGAACAGGCUUAGAUACCCUGGUAGUCCACGCUGUAAACGGUGGGUACUAGGUGUGGGGUCCAUUCCACGGGUUCCGUGCCGUAGCUAACGCUUUAAGUACCCCGCCUGGGGAGUACGGCCGCAAGGCUAAAACUCAAAGGAAUUGACGGGGCCCCGCACAAGCGGCGGAGCAUGCGGAUUAAUUCGAUGCAACGCGUAGAACCUUACCUGGGUUUGACAUGGAUCGGGAGUGCUCAGAGAUGGGUGUGCCUCUUUUGGGGUCGGUUCACAGGUGGUGCAUGGCUGUCGUCAGCUCGUGUCGUGAGAUGUUGGGUUAAGUCCCGCAACGAGCGCAACCCUUGUUCACUGUUGCCAGCACGUUAUGGUGGGGACUCAGUGGAGACCGCCGGGGUCAACUCGGAGGAAGGUGGGGAUGACGUCAAGUCAUCAUGCCCCUUAUGUCCAGGGCUUCACGCAUGCUACAAUGGCUGGUACAGAGAGUGGCGAGCCUGUGAGGGUGAGCGAAUCUCGGAAAGCCGGUCUCAGUUCGGAUUGGGGUCUGCAACUCGACCUCAUGAAGUCGGAGUCGUUAGUAAUCGCAGAUCAGCAACGCUGCGGUGAAUACGUUCCCGGG
rnacentral:rRNA from 1 species